AUUGAACGCUGGCGGCAGGCCUAACACAUGCAAGUCGAACGAGUGGCGGACGGGUGAGUAAUGUCUGGGAAACUGCCUGAUGGAGGGGGAUAACUACUGGAAACGAUAGCUAAUACCGCAUACCAUCGGAUGUGCCCAGAUGGGAUUAGCUAGGUGGUGGGGUAAAGGCUCACCUAGGCGACGAUCCCUAGCUGGUCUGCGAGGAUGACCAGGCAGAAUGGAACUGAGACACGGCCCAGACUCCUCCGGGAGGCAGCAGUGGGGAAUAUUGGACAAUGGGCGCAAGCCUGAUGCAGCCAUGCCGCGUGUAUGAAGAAGGCCUUCGGGUUGUAAAGUACUUUCAGCGGGGAGGCGGUACCUGCAGAAGAAGCACCGGCUAACUCCGUGCCAGCAGCCGCGGUAAUAC
rnacentral:rRNA from 1 species